rnacentral:rRNA from 1 species
AUUGAACGCUGGCGGCAUGCCUUACACAUGCAAGUCGAACGGUAACGGGCCUUCGGGUGCCGACGAGUGGCGAACGGGUGAGUAAUACAUCGGAACGUGCCCGAUCGUGGGGGAUAACGAGGCGAAAGCUUUGCUAAUACCGCAUACGAUCUACGGAUGAAAGCAGGGGACCGCAAGGCCUUGCGCGGACGGAGCGGCCGAAGGCAGAUUAGGUAGUUGGUGGGAUAAAAGCUUACCAAGCCGACGAUCUGUAGCUGGUCUGAGAGGAUGAUCAGCCACACUGGGACUGAGACACGGCCCAGACUCCUACGGGAGGCAGCAGUGGGGAAUUUUGGACAAUGGGCGCAAGCCUGAUCCAGCCAUGCCGCGUGCAGGAUGAAGGCCUUCGGGUUGUAAACUGCUUUUGUACGGAACGAAAAGCCUUCUUUUAAUACAGGAGGGUCAUGACGGUACCGUAAGAAUAAGCACCGGCUAACUACGUG